rnacentral:rRNA from 1 species
CAUGCAAGUCGAACGAUGAAGCCCUUCGGGGUGGAUUAGUGGCGAACGGGUGAGUAACACGUGGGCAAUCUGCCCUGCACUCUGGGACAAGCCCUGGAAACGGGGUCUAAUACCGGAUACGAGGUUCAGAGGCAUCUUUGAACUUGGAAAGCUCCGGCGGUGCAGGAUGAGCCCGCGGCCUAUCAGCUUGUUGGUGAGGUAAUGGCUCACCAAGGCGACGACGGGUAGCCGGCCUGAGAGGGCGACCGGCCACACUGGGACUGAGACACGGCCCAGACUCCUACGGGAGGCAGCAGUGGGGAAUAUUGCACAAUGGGCGCAAGCCUGAUGCAGCGACGCCGCGUGAGGGAUGACGGCCUUCGGGUUGUAAACCUCUUUCAGCAGGGAAGAAGCGAGAGUGACGGUACCUGCAGAAGAAGCGCCGGCUAACUACGUGCCAGCAGCCGCGGGUAAUUCA